rnacentral:rRNA from 1 species
UACGGAGGGUGCAAGCGUUACUCGGAAUUACUGGGCGUAAAGCGCACGCAGGCGGUCUGUCAAGUCGGAUGUGAAAUCCCCGGGCUCAACCUGGGAACUGCAUUCGAAACUGGCAGGCUAGAGUGUUGUAGAGGGGGGUGGAAUUCCAGGUGUAGCGGUGAAAUGCGUAGAGAUCAGGAGGAACACCGGUGGCGAAGGCGGCCCCCUGGACAACGACUGGCGCUGAGGUGCGAAAGCGUGGGGAGCAAACAGG